AGCGAACGCUGGCGGCAGGCCUAACACAUGCAAGUCGAACGAAGUCUUCGGACUUAGUGGCGGACGGGUGAGUAACACGUGGGAACGUGCCUUUAGGUUCGGAAUAACUCAGGGAAACUUGUGCUAAUACCGAAUGUGCCCUUCGGGGGAAAGAUUUAUCGCCUUUAGAGCGGCCCGCGUCUGAUUAGCUAGUUGGUGAGGUAAAGGCUCACCAAGGCUACGAUCAGUAGCUGGUCUGAGAGGAUGACCAGCCACAUUGGGACUGAGACGCGGCCCAAACUCCUACGGGAGGCGGCAGUGGGGAAUCUUGCGAAAUGGGCGAAAGCCUGACGCAGCCAUGACGCGUGGAUGAUGAAGGUCUUAGGAUUGUAAAAUCCUUUCACCGGUGAAGAUAAUGACUGUAGCCGGAGAAGAAGCCCCGGCUAACUUCGUGCCAGCCGCCGCCGUAAAAC
rnacentral:rRNA from 1 species